rnacentral:lncRNA from 1 species
CGAUAUAUCUCUAAUAAUCAAAACCCUAAUAAUAAUAGUGUUUUUAAUGGGCUCCUUGGAAAACAAAUCCGGUUUUCUAAAAUAAAUUGGAUUCUGAAAAGAAAUUCGCAGGCUGACUUUCAGGCCUGAUUCUGGGCUGCUCCAGUUGGAUAUUGACAUCUGGACCACUUUAAACUUGUAGAAAAUUCCGAUAUCUUCGUGUGGGCUGUUGAAUCGCCCAAUUCUGAUGUCCAGAACUCAAGUUAUGGCCCAAACAAGAUUUGCUUUGCAGUCUAUCCAUAAAAUCCGAAUUUCUAUCUGAUUAAGCCCAAAUAAGCUUGAUUUAAUCCAACUUUAGGAAUAUUUAUUUUCCUGCCAUUAAACACUUAAAAUCAAUUAGUAAUAACCCGAUUAUUUACAAAAUACUAAAAUUAUGGGAAUAAAAUCAUAUAAAAGCAUAUAUAAAUAUAUGCUCUAUCAA